rnacentral:sRNA from 1 species
UAUCCAACGGGCUACGAAAGGGUGCCAAGAAAUACCCGGACUACAUCCAGAUUUCCAUGCCCAAUGACUCCAGGAACAAGCUUCCCCUAGAGUGGUGGAAAACAGGCAUUGCCUUUGUGUACGCUCUCUUCAACCUUAUCCUGACAACAGUCAUGAUCACCGUUGUGCACGAGAGGGUCCCUCCCAAGGAACUCAGCCCUCCACUCCCAGACAAGUUUUUUGAUUACGUCGACCGGGUCAAAUGGGCAUUUUCUGUAUCAGAAAUAAAUGGGAUGGUAUUAGUUGGGCUAUGGCUCACCCAGUGGCUCUUUCUGAGAUACAAAAGGGACAAUACCAUCCUCUGUGGGAAGGAGAACCAGCUUCCUUGUGGUGACUACACAGCAGACCAGAAGGCCACCGUCUACGAUUCAUAUCAGCACACACAGUCUAUCCUAAGAGUCCAUGUUGAUCUUGGAAGUAGAGAGGUUUAAAAGAAGUUCCCACAGAAACCAAGAGCCUUACCAUCUCCUUUAGCUCCGAAGGCUGGCGGACAAUGGAUAUCAUAGAGACAGCAAAACUUGAAGGUCAUUUGGAAAGUCAAACCAACAACUCUACCAACACUUACACAAGCCCCACUGAAGCUGUAGAAGAGGAGGACAAAAAUGGCAAGGGUAAACCCAAGACCU